rnacentral:rRNA from 1 species
UCAUCUCCGGGGGUAGAGCACUGUUUCGGCAAGGGGGUCAUCCCGACUUACCAACCCGAUGCAAACUGCGAAUACCGGAGAAUGUUAUCACGGGAGACACACGGCGGGUGCUAACGUCCGUCGUGAAGAGGGAAACAACCCAGACCGCCAGCUAAGGUCCCAAAGUCAUGGUUAAGUGGGAAACGAUGUGGGAAGGCCCAGACAGCCAGGAUGUUGGCUUAGAAGCAGCCAUCAUUUAAAGAAAGCGUAAUAGCUCACUGGUCGAGUCGGCCUGCGCGGAAGAUGUAACGGGGCUAAACCAUGCACCGAAGCUGCGGCAGCGACGCUGAUGCGUUGUUGGGUAGGGGAGCGUUCUGUAAGCCUGUGAAGGUGUGCUGUGAGGCAUGCUGGAGGUAUCAGAAGUGCGAAUGCUGACAUAAGUAACGAUAAAGCGGGUGAAAAGCCCGCUCGCCGGAAGACCAAGGGUUCCUGUCCAACGUUAAUCGGGGCAGGGUGAGUCGACCCCUAAGGCGAGGCCGAAAGGCGUAGUCGAUGGGAAACAGGUUAAUAUUCCUGUACUUGGUGUUACUGCGAAGGGGGGACGGAGAAGGCUAUGUUGGCCGGGCGACGGUUGUCCCGGUUUAAGCGUGUAGGCUGGUUUUCCAGGCAAAUCCGGAAAAUCAAGGCUGAGGCGUGAUGACGAGGCACUACGGUGCUGAAGCAACAAAUGCCCUGCUUCCAGGAAAAGCCUCUAAGCAUCAGGUAACAUCAAAUCGUACCCCAAACCGACACAGGUGGUCAGGUAGAGAAUACCAAGGCGCUUGAGAGAACUCGGGUGAAGGAACUAGGCAAAAUGGUGCCGUAACUUCGGGAGAAGGCACGCUGAUAUGUAGGUGAAGUCCCUCGCGGAUGGAGCUGAAAUCAGUCGAAGAUACCAGCUGGCUGCAACUGUUUAUUAAAAACACAGCACUGUGCAAACACGAAAGUGGACGUAUACGGUGUGACGCCUGCCCGGUGCCGGAAGGUUAAUUGAUGGGGUCAGCGCAAGCGAAGCUCUUGAUCGAAGCCCCGGUAAACGGCGGCCGUAACUAUAACGGUCCUAAGGUAGCGAAAUUCCUUGUCGGGUAAGUUCCGACCUGCACGAAUGGCGUAAUGAUGGCCAGGCUGUCUCCACCCGAGACUCAGUGAAAUUGAACUCGCUGUGAAGAUGCAGUGUACCCGCGGCAAGACGGAAAGACCCCGUGAACCUUUACUAUAGCUUGACACUGAACAUUGAGCCUUGAUGUGUAGGAUAGGUGGGAGGCUUAGAAGUGUGGACGCCAGUCUGCAUGGAGCCGACCUUGAAAUACCACCCUUUAAUGUUUGAUGUUCUAACGUUGACCCGUAAUCCGGGUUGCGGACAGUGUCUGGUGGGUAGUUUGACUGGGGCGGUCUCCUCCUAAAGAGUAACGGAGGAGCACGAAGGUUGGCUAAUCCUGGUCGGACAUCAGGAGGUUAGUGCAAUGGCAUAAGCCAGCUUGACUGCGAGCGUGACGGCGCGAGCAGGUGCGAAAGCAGGUCAUAGUGAUCCGGUGGUUCUGAAUGGAAGGGCCAUCGCUCAACGGAUAAAAGGUACUCCGGGGAUAACAGGCUGAUACCGCCCAAGAGUUCAUAUCGACGGCGGUGUUUGGCACCUCGAUGUCGGCUCAUCACAUCCUGGGGCUGAAGUAGGUCCCAAGGGUAUGGCUGUUCGCCAUUUAAAGUGGUACGCGAGCUGGGUUUAGAACGUCGUGAGACAGUUCGGUCCCUAUCUGCCGUGGGCGCUGGAGAACUGAGGGGGGCUGCUCCUAGUACGAGAGGACCGGAGUGGACGCAUCACUGGUGUUCGGGUUGUCAUGCCAAUGGCACUGCCCGGUAGCUAAAUGCGGAAGAGAUAAGUGCUGAAAGCAUCUAAGCACGAAACUUGCC